AUGCCUUUUGGCCUCUCCAACGCCUCGACGACCUUUCAGGCCUUGAUGCACGACAUCCUCCGCUCCUACUUGCAUCGGUUUGUGCUUGUUUUCUUUGAUGACAUUCUUAUCUACAACGCCUCGUGGGCGGAGCACCUUCAGCACGUCGCCAUCGUCUUCAACGAGCUUCGAGCGCACCAUCUUCAUCUUAAGCGCUCGAAGUGCUCGUUCGGCAUGCCCUCAGUCGCCUACCUCGGCCACGCCAUCUUGGCCGAGGGUGUUGCUAUGGACGCCGACAAGGCGGCGGCUGUCGCGGCAUGGCCGACGCCGCACUCACCGCGGGCUCUCCCCGGCUUCCUGGGCCUCGCAGGGUACUACCGAAAAUUUAUCCGGGAGUGCGGCCUCAUCGCUUCCCCGCUCACGCACUUAUUGCGACGCGACGCCUUUGCCUAG
rnacentral:rRNA from 1 species